UCCCGAGUAGGCAUAUCUCUCAUAGAGUGAAACACAUACCUCUGAGAGAUGGAUUUGCAUGGGAAGAUGGAGAUGAGGUGACAGAAUGAAUAAAGAAAGGAGGCACAGGAGAAGACAGAACAGAAGAAGCAGGAUGGUUAUCUAUGGACUUCACCUCUGACUUAGGGAUGGUAGAAGACUGGUGAGAUGUAUCCCACCUGUAAUCACAGAGUGACAUCGGUACCAUCCAGCCAUCUGACAGUCGUAUCACCCAGGGUGGCAAGGCUGAGCUGUUUUGUCUCUGUAUUUCAAAACACACAGCCCACCACGGAGCUCCUGCCUACUGUCCUGCAGCUGCCC